rnacentral:rRNA from 1 species
GACGAACGCUGGCGGCGUGCUUAACACAUGCAAGUCGAGCGGAGCGGCGAACGGGUGAGUAACGCGGGAGUAACUGCCCCCCUCUCUGGGAUAACAGUUGGAAACGGCUGCCAAUACCGGAUAGUUGGGGAUGACUCGCGUCCUAUCAGCUUGUUGGUGGGGUAGUGGCCUACCAAGUCGAGGACGUGUAGCCGGCCUGAGAGGGCGACCGGCCACAUUGGGCUGAGAUACGGCCCAAACUGCUACGUGAGGCAGCAGUGGGGAAUAUUGCACAAUGGGGGAAACCCUGAUGCAGCAACGCGCGUGCGGGAUGACGGCCUUCGGGUUGUAAACCGCUUUCAGCCAUGACGCGGUAGUGGCAGAAGAGGCACCGGCUAACUACGUGCCAGCAGCCGCGGUAUAC